GCAUGCGCAGUAGCAUGUUGUCUUCCGUUCAGGAAAGGUGACGAUGGCUUAGAACGUUUUUUUACGUUGUGUGGAAUACGGGAAGAACUGGGAUGGAAUAUUAUAUAUUUUUUGUCAAACCAGGAUAUAAACGCUGACGAUAUGAACACUUGUAAUGAGUAUAUUGAUUAUUAAGCAAACAAAGGUGAACUGGGGAGCAAGAAACGUCCGAAAACUCCGGCUAUGUUUUCGACUGAAGAACACGACAUAUUUCUAUGUCGCGAAAUUCUAGCCGUAAAUGCAUUCAUAGGAACAAAAAAGGGCACAGCUCAAAGAGGGAGCUAAUGGAAAUAUAUAGUGGAGAAAUUAAUGACAAUAGAAACCCUAAAGUUUAAAGUAGACUCAAUAGCUGUACGUUCUAUCGCAAAAAUUUUGAAGAAAAUUAAGUUUUGAAGAAAGAGCAAGUGGAAUUGACAUGGAAAUAAAUGAAGUGGAACAUGCCCUUGAAGAUUUGAUUGAAAUGGGAAGAUGCUUCUGUGAGACAAACAGAACAUGAAUCAGAAAAUAAGUUAAAAGUAGCAGAUUGUGAAAAAAAAAACUGCUGAUGACAAGAGACGACAAGCAAUGGAAAAGCUUGAGGAAACACAAAAAAGAAAAGGAGAUGAAGAGGGAGCAUGUUCAAAAGAAGGUUAAAUGGCAAUGAUAGCCUAACAUACCUAAGAGGCAAAAGUAAAAUGCAGCAUGAACU